rnacentral:lncRNA from 1 species
CUUUACUUGUCUUUGAUAGAUAAUUUCUACCUGGCGACGAACUCAUUGACAUUGAGCAGAAGAGCGAGCAGUUAAAUGGUUGUUUACAAAUAUUGUACAUCGACGUGUGUGUGAAAAGGCGUAAAACGCUGAGUGAGGAAAUAUUUUGAUCUAGGUUUUCAGGUAAUACUAAUUACAGAAAUGAAUAUGCGCACACCACCUUCAUUGCUGGAGGACGAUGGACAAGACAACCAUCAGUCAACAGAUGCCCCUCCCCAGGAAGUUGACUUUUCUGAAUAUAUGUGGAUGGCAGAUGAACUUGAAGAAUUUGACAGACAAGUGGAGGAGGAAUUAUGGGAGCAGGCUUUUAUUGAAGCAUGUUUUGAGGACAUGCUAGCUGAAGAGGAACUCCACUGGUACUUCAGCCAGCUCCCAGCUCAUUCCCAUGCCUGCAUGACUACUGUACCAUGGGACAGCUUCUAUGACAGUCCACUUUCCCAGCUGUCCUUAGACUGCCGAGCUGAAGAGUUAUUACAAACAUCAAAGCUCAACCCUGAGGCACCAGAGUUUGUUCCAAUGGCAGCAAUGAAAAAAUAAUGAGAGCAAGUUGUGUGUCUAAUGGCAAGGCCACUUACUCAUUCAGGUACUGCCAGGAAGCAUUUUCCGCUGAAGUUUUCAUACAGACUGAUUUCAUCACUUUGUUAUAUGUUCACCGUUGAAAAAAAAAUAAAAACGGAUAACCUUUCGAAGGAUAUCUCUUGUCUGAAUUGUGUGUAUUUUGAGGAUAUAUAACAGGAUGGAAGCAACAAGGGUAAGAAUUUUGAAUUGCACCUCUUAUUACAUGAAUGUUUAUGUUCUACUUGACAUUUGUCUAAGACAAGACUAGUUUUUUGUGUUUUGUUGGGAGGGCAGGUUUACUUUGUGUUUCUACAUUUUGGGGAAGGGUUCCUUUACUUACAGUAUCAUAACACACUAGUUAUUUGUUUUCAACUGAAGAAAGUAAUUUUUUUUUUAACAGCAUUUUAAGUAUCAGCAAUCAAUUCUUUGAAUUUUGGGUUUGAUUGUAUAUGUUUCAAAGAGUUUGAAAAAAAAUUCCAGCAAGUUUUUAAGUAUGAUCUGUUUGAUUGUAUAUGUUGGUGGAUUUCCGUUUUACUUCAGUAGUAUUAUCCAUAUAAAACGUUCCAUGAAUGCAAGGUUGUGGUUUUCAUGCAAGAUUUCAACAGGUGCUGUGUGAACUUACUGUUAUGAAAUUUGUAGGUUCAUCUCAUAAAGUGAACUGAUUGGUGGCUUGUAAUUUCUUAGAUUUAGCUUUAUCCAGGUAGUAUUAUGCUUUGCUGAUAGAAAUAUUUGGCCAGUCAUUCUGCACAAAGUCUGGUUUUUUUCUUGUUUUGGAGAAGCUUCUUGUUUGGGUGCCAGGAAGUAUUCACUGAAAGCCAUUUCUGUUUUAGAAGUAUUUAACCAAACAAAAACCUAAUGGCUGCUAUUGUUUGUGUGUAAUAAGAGAAUAUGAAAUAUAGCAUUUUAAAGCAUGCACAGUGUACUAAUUAUCUUUUCAUUUGGCUAAUAAUUCUUUGAAAAAAAUUUGCUGCACAAAACUCUGCUUUGUGAAAGCUUUGUAAGAUGAAGAUUUUUUUUUUUUUUUUUUUUGCUUUAUUCUUGAGUUUAUUAUUUUAUGUAAAACUCCUUAACCUAUUUGUUAGUUUAUCUAUUAUUAUAUCAUUAGGAUCAUUUUUUCUUGGCUUUCCCAGAUUUUUCAUUCCAGAAUCUUACACAGAGGUCUGGUCUGUGUGCUGAUCAUUUACAUGUUAUGUGUUUUUGGUGUUUUGUGUUAUUUGUUCACAGGACUAUGUAGUUGGUUACUAUCUGAGAUAAAUGAUGGAUAACAAUACAGAAUUGUAUAGAGAGAAGCUGUGUAUUGGGACACAGUGGCACUUGCAGUUACAAGUUGAUAAAAAUGUGGCUUUUUUAUUAUUUUUGUUGCUUCAUUGUUUGAUAUAUCAUGUUACCUAGAGACGUAAUAUUGCAUACUCUGUCAGACAGUCCCUGCUCUUGCUCAUUUCUAGGCUUAAAUUAAAUUCAGCUUCAGAAAAAUACAAAUAGAAAACAUGAUCUUUUAUGAAACACUUCAGUGUUUUCCAAAGUGAUCUUACGUUAUAUAAAGCCACUUUUUCUUUAUUUUUUUAAGAGCAGUUUUAUUUUAUUUGUAAAACAAUUGCUAUCUUUGGGCAGAAAAUACAGAAUUUGUAUAUUUGUCUGUUAAGAAUGUUUCACAUAAUUAUAGUUAUAUUUAUAUCUUGUUCUUUGUUUUCCUCUUCUUUUUUUUUAAGGUCAUGGAACUGCAGUGUACUUUUUUUUUUUUUUUUUUCUUAUGUGAGUACAAAAUGUGUUUCAGAAGCUUUCAUGUGGCAGUUCUACUAAGCUUUGGCUACUUCAUGAAACUUUUGAAUUUUUGCCUCUGGAAUUAUCUAUAUUUAAAGUCUACUUUAAAUGAAUCGGUAUUUUGAUUAAGAAUAGCAGCAGACAUGCAGACAUAAAGUAUAAAGUUUUUGACAGAUACAGUUAUCACUUUGAAGACAAUGCUGUUUGGAGAUGGAUUGGGCUUCACCUUUCACUUCAUGUCCGGGAAACUAUGACCCUUUUUUUACCUGUUACCAAGAAAACAUCAAGAAUCCCGUAGCAUGUAGGAGAACAAAGUUUCAUAAGUAGGAGUUUUCAGGUCAUAACAGUGUUAAAUGAAGUAUGUGGACAAAACCCUAGCAUAAGUAUAAGAAGAAUCAAAGCACAAAAAGAUGUUUGUGAUUGAAAAACUAGAGCAUCUUAUCAUCAUUUUAUUUGGUGUCUUCAUAAGAGAACUGGAGACAGUGAUCCAUGGAUACUGUCAGUUACUGCAGAGCUACCCUUGUAAAAACUUUCACAUUGUCUUAAGUACGAGCAGAAGUUAAUUUUGGCCUUUUGUAGCCCCUGUUUGGGGGAAUUUUGAUAACACCAGCAUGAACCUUUUCAAGCACUUCAAGUGGUAGGGAAGUCCUGUUGCUUGUACACUUGACUCUGGAGAAAAAUUCAGCUAUCAUUAUAACGAACUCAUGGUAAACCAAAACUGUGAAAACUCUGUUUUUGUAUGUAAUAUAGACACAUAAAGUGCAGCACACACAUACAAUCAGAUCAAGGGAUGUUUGGAUUCAACAGCAGUAAAAACUUUUGUAACAGAUUUUUGUCAUAUCAUUUGAUGCAGUAAGCCUCAAGGCCUCUUCCUCCCACUGAAACCCAGACCAAAAAACUUCACACUACCUUUAUAAUUCUAGUUUUAUGCAAAUGCAGUCCAUCUACUUGUUGCUUUUUUUAAAAUUCUAGACAUGAGUUGAAUGUUGUCUUGUAGCUUUGUAAAGUCUUAAAUGAUGAUACUUUUGUAAUGCAUGAAUUGAGACUUUGUGAAAAGACAUAAACAUGUAGCAAUUUUAGAUAAAAUUACUGUUGAUUUGAUUUUUACAACCUUAGUGCAAGUUUAUCUUUUGUGGAGUUUUUAAAAACAAAAUUCGAGAUUUUGUAAAACCUAGCUCUUUUCAAAAGUGUCACUAGCUUAAUAUUUUGUCUUGCAGUUUAUUUCAGUGAAAAUGCAAAAUGUUUGAGAGUUUAGUAUUGUUUAGCAUCUGUUUAUGUGCACACAUGCCAGUGUUUUGGGUUUUAAAAUUUGAGUGGUUCCUAUGUGAAAACAUUUGGCAAUGUAUAUUUAUUUUGACAGCUUUAAAAUAGGCUUAAGAUUUGGGGUUUUUAAAAAAUGCAGUUUCAGAAAGGGGGACGUGUGUUUUGGACAUUGUAUGAGUGAAGUUGAUCUCUAUGGCCAUAAAGAUUGUGAUGUAAGAAACAUGAGUUUUAGGUACUUCAUGCAUUGCCAGUGCCCUGCUUUAAAUCAUCUGUGAUGGUACUGAUGUCAUGGACUUGUACUUGACAUUAUUUGUGAAGUGUAGACUGCGGAAAUGAAUUUUAAAGGCAUAUCAAGCACCAGGCUUUAUGAGUAUGACAAAUAUAUAGUUAUAUAACAAUCCUUUGGAUAAGUGGGACCUGCUCACAUACCUGUUUUUGAGAAAGUAAACAGACAUGAAUUAAGCUUUUAGCAGCUAGAGAAAAAAUUGAGGUUUACAGAAGCACAUUAAAAAAAGAUUUAAAAUAAAUAAUAAAUGGUCUGUUCAGCAUUAAAUAUUUCUUACGUUUCGUUAUCCUUUUAGCAGUGGGAAAUGUUUGUAUUAAGGACAGGUUGUCAUGACUAAAGGGUCUUGUUGAAGCAAAAAUAUUGGCACUUUUGUGGUUUCUGCUAUUUUUGUCAUUCUCUUCAUCAUUGUGGUUUUUUCUUUCUGUACUUUCCCAAUGCAGAUAAAAUAAAAGAAUAGUGACAUAGACAAGAGGCUAGUGUGAUUGCUGUAUUAUCAAACUUUGAAACAGGCAUUCCUCUCAUGGUUUAAGUUCCAGACACUGAUAAUGGCCGAAAGAGUGCAAAUCAUGGUGACACCAACUUACAAAUAAUCAAAAUUAGACCAGCUGACACUUUUCCAAAUAAAAACCUCCAUUGCAUCAACUCUCACACUGACAAUAUCUGAAUGGCAUGUAGAAAGUUGAGUUUGCAAUGCAGAGCCAAGAGACUUUGAGGCACAUAUAUAGUCUCCCUAUGUCUACUUUGUCCCAUAAAUAAUAUUUUAUGUUUAGAUUAAUAUUCUUUUGAUGUAUGCAGUUAAGAUUUAUACGUGAAUUUAUAUCGACCAGUGUUGCAUGUAGAUCAUGUACAAUAUUUAAAAGCUACCAGUAGCAUUGAGUUUUGUGAUGCAAGACAAGAUCUGAGAGAUUUUGAGGAAGUGCAAGCUACAAGAGAGGACACAGAGGGGAAAAAAGACACCGUCUGUGUGAUCAGAUGUGCAUUGCAUGUAUGCUUGUCCUCUUUUUCAACUGUUCAUCAGAAGAAUACAGGGCAGAUAGUGUUUCUGAUGGGGAAUAUUUUUGUGAUAAAUGUGCAAUGACUCUUUAGAUCCCACCUUGUCAUCAGAGCCUUGUGACUAAAAGAUUAAUAAUUAGGAUGACUUGCUCUUAUUUACAUUUCACAUCAUGAGUGUUUGUAUACCAAAGUUUUCAGAAUAUAUGAAAUUCAGAUAUCUCCAGAGACCUAGUCUGUUUACUUAUCAGUUUGGAAAAAAACAUUCUGAUGUAUGCUUCAAUGCAUUGAAAAUAUGGCCAAAUGCUCUAGUCCAUACCACAUGUCAGAGGCGCUUGUAAAGUGGUUCUCUUAGGUUUAACACUGCCAUGUGCUUCUUAUGUUCAGAAGAACUAAAAGGGGACUCAGAUAACAUACACAUAGAAGAGAGUGUUUUAUUUUUUUUUAAAGGGGGUAAGGAGUAUGUUUUGUUGCUAGUGGACCUGCAAAAUCAUCUGGGUACUUGUUUUCAUGAACAAAAAUCUUCAUCUUCAAAGCAUGAGUGUUGAAUUUGAAAAGAGCAUUCACAUUAAAUGCUCAGACUUUGAUGUUUUGAUUUGUAAUAAAAUAUUUUUGCAGCA